rnacentral:rRNA from 1 species
AACGAACGCUGGCGGCAGGCUCAACACAUGCAAGUCGAACGGACGUAGCAAUACAGCAGUGGCAGACGGGUGGGUAACACGUGGGAACCUUCCUAGGGGUACGGAACAACUCAGGGAAACUUGAGCUAAUACCGUAUACGUCCGUGAGGAGAAAGAUUUAUCGCCCUUAGACGGGCCCGCGUAGGAUUAGGUAGUUGGUGGGGUAAUGGCCUACCAAGCCUACGAUCCUUAGCUGAUCUGAGAGGAUGAUCAGCCACACUGGGACUGAGACACGGCCCAGACUCCUACGGGAGGCAGCAGUGGGGAAUCUUGGACAAUGGGCGCAAGCCUGAUCCAGCCAUGCCGCGUGAGUGAAGAAGGCCUUCGGGUUGUAAAGCUCUUUUACCAGGGACGAUAAUGACGGUACCUGGAGAAUAAGCCCCGGCAAACUUCGUGCCAGCCGCCGCCGUAA